GAUGAAACGCUGGCGGCGUGCUUAACACAUGCAAGUCGAACGAAGCGCUUGAAUGGAAUUCUUCGGAAGGAAGCUCAAAGUGACUGAGUGGCGGACGGGUGAGUAAACGCGUGGGUAACCUGCCUCAUACAGGGGAUAACAGUUAGAAAUGACUGCUAAUACCGCAUAAGCACACGUGAUCGCAAUGAAUCGAGUGUGAAAAAACUCCGGUGGUAAUGAGAUGG
rnacentral:rRNA from 1 species